GGGGUUGUGGCUCAAUGGUAGAGCGCUUGCCUAGUAUGUGUGAGGCACUGGGUUCAAUUCCCAGAACCACA
rnacentral:tRNA from 1 species